rnacentral:rRNA from 1 species
CUACGGGUCGCUGCAGUGGGGGAUAUUGCACAAUGGGCGAAAGCCUGAUGCAGCAACGCCGCGUGAAGGAAGACGGUUUUCGGAUUGUAAACUUCUAUCAGCAGGGAAGAAAAUGACGGUACCUGACUAAGAAGCCCCGGCUAACUACGUGCCAGCAGCCGCGGUAAUACGUAGGGGGCAAGCGUUAUCCGGAAUUACUGGGUGUAAAGGGUACGUAGGCGGCUGAUCAAGUCAGAUGUGAAAGCCCGGGGCUCAACCCCGGGACUGCAUUUGAAACUGGUCGGCUAGAGUGCAGGAGAGGAAAGUGGAAUUCCUAGUGUAGCGGUGAAAUGCGUAGAUAUUAGGAAGAACACCAGUGGCGAAGGCGGCUUUCUGGACUGUAACUGACGCUGAGGUACGAAAGCGUGGGGAGCGAACAGGAUUAGAUACCCUCGUAGUC